UCAUCCACUUCUCCUCCAUCACUGUCCUCCACUGCUCUCUCUGUGUUGUCAUUUCUUAAAUUGAUCUGUGGGUUCUUACUGGUGUUACUGGUUCUGUUAGGGAGACCAUGUGUUCACAGAAAACCUGAAGCUGAUGGGGGAGACUUUAGAAAUGGCAUCACGUCCAGUCACAGAAAAUCUCAAGUCAUCAACAACAGCCAAUCAGAAGAAGCAGAGAGAGUGAUCCAGCUGUUGUCCACUCAGCCCUGAGAACUGAAGACAUCAUUUAUGGACAAACAGCUGUCUGAACAAACAGGUACAGCUGCUCUUUAUUCAUUAAAAGCAGAAUAAUUCUUUUUAUUUUCUACAUUUAGUAAAAACAGUAAAAUAAAUAUCUGAGGUCUUUAGAGACCUGCAGCAAGCUUUCUUCUCCACACUGAACUUAGCUCACCAUGCUAGUAAAUAACAGUUUGAAGUAAAUCAUCAACAGCUCAGUGAGAAGAAACCGA